rnacentral:rRNA from 1 species
UGGGGAAUUUUGGACAAUGGGCGCAAGCCUGAUCCAGCAAUGCCGCGUGCAGGAAGAAGGCCUUCGGGUUGUAAACUGCUUUUGUACGGAGCGAAAAGGUCUUCCCUAAUACGGGAGGCUGAUGACGGUACCGUAAGAAUAAGCACCGGCUAACUACGUGCCAGCAGCCGCGGUAAUACGUAGGGUGCGAGCGUUAAUCGGAAUUACUGGGCGUAAAGCGUGCGCAGGCGGUUUUGUAAGACAGGCGUGA